rnacentral:rRNA from 1 species
AGCGGAAGAUGGGAGCUUGCUCCCUGAUGUUAGCGGCGGACGGGUGAGUAACACGUGGGUAACCUGCCUGUAAGACUGGGAUAACUCCGGGAAACCGGGGCUAAUACCGGAUGCUUGUUUGAACCGCAUGGUUCAAACAUAAAAGGUGGCUUCGGCUACCACUUACAGAUGGACCCGCGGCGCAUUAGCUAGUUGGUGAGGUAAUGGCUCACCAAGGCAACGAUGCGUAGCCGACCUGAGAGGGUGAUCGGCCACACUGGGACUGAGACACGGCCCAGACUCCUACGGGAGGCAGCAGUAGGGAAUCUUCCGCAAUGGACGAAAGUCUGACGGAGCAACGCCGCGUGAGUGAUGAAGGUUUUCGGAUCGUAAAGCUCUGUUGUUAGGGAAGAACAAGUGCCGUUCAAAUAGGGCGGCACCUUGACGGUACCUAACCAGAAAGCCACGGCUAACUACGUGCCAGCAGCCGCGGUAAUACGUAGGUGGCAAGCGUUGUCCGGAAUUAUUGGGCGUAAAGGGCUCGCAGGCGGUUUCUUAAGUCUGAUGUGAAAGCCCCCGGCUCAACCGGGGAGGGUCAUUGGAAACUGGGGAACUUGAGUGCAGAAGAGGAGAGUGGAAUUCCACGUGUAGCGGUGAAAU